GGGAAAGGCGAAAAGAACCCCUGUGAGGGGAGUGAAAUAGAACCUGAAACCGUGUACGUACAAGCAGUAGGAGCCCCUCGAGGGUGACUGCGUACCUUUUGUAUAAUGGGUCAGCGACUUAUAUUCAGUGGCGAGCUUAACCGAAUAGGGGAGGCGUAGCGAAAGCGAGUCUUAAUAGGGCGUUUAGUCGCUGGGUAUAGACCCGAAACCGGGCGAUCUAUCCAU
rnacentral:rRNA from 1 species